rnacentral:rRNA from 1 species
ACGCUGGCGGCAGGCCUAACACAUGCAAGUCGAGCGGAUGAGAGGAGCUUGCUCCUUAAUUCAGCGGCGGACGGGUGAGUAAUGCCUAGGAAUCUGCCUGGUAGUGGGGGACAACGCUUCGAAAGGAACGCUAAUACCGCAUACGUCCUACGGGAGAAAGCAGGGGACCUUCGGGCCCUUGCGCUAUCAGAUGAGCCUAGGUCGGAUUAGCUAGUUGGUGAGGUAAUGGCUCACCAAGGCGACGAUCCGUAACUGGUCUGAGAGGAUGAUCAGUCACACUGGAACUGAGACACGGUCCAGACUCCUACGGGAGGCAGCAGUGGGGAAUAUUGGACAAUGGGCGAAAGCCUGAUCCAGCCAUGCCGCGUGUGUGAAGAAGGUCUUCGGAUUGUAAAGCACUUUAAGUUGGGAGGAAGGGCAGUAAAUUAAUACUUUGCUGUUUUGACGUUACCGACAGAAUAAGCACCGGCUAACUCUGUGCCAGCAGCCGCGGUAAUACAGAGGGUGCAAGCGUUAAUCGGAAUUACUGGGCGUAAAGCGCGCGUAGGUGGUUCGUUAAGUUGGAUGUGAAAUCCCCGGGCUCAACCUGGGAACUGCAUUCAAAACUGUCGAGCUAGAGUAUGGUAGAGGGUGGUGGAAUUUCCUGUGUAGCGGUGAAAUGCGUAGAUAUAGGAAGGAACACCAGUGGCGAAGGCGACCACCUGGACUGAUACUGACACUGAGGUGCGAAAGCGUGGGGAGCAAAC